GCGCGAAACCUCUGCAAUGCGCGAAAGCGUGACAGGGGAACUCUGAGUGGCGGAGAACUAAGUUCUCCGUCUUUUGACAAGCUUAGACAGCUUGUAGAAUAAGUGCUGGGUAAGACCAGUGCCAGCCGCCGCGGUAAUACCGGCAGCACAAGUGGUAUCCACGAAUAUUGGGUCUAAAGAGUUCGUAGCUGGCCUGUUAAGUUCGCUGUGAAAUCUCGGUGCCUAACGCCGAGGAGUGCAGUGAAUACUGGCAGGCUUGAGAGUGGGGGAGGUGUGGAGUACUUACGGGGUAGGGGUAAAAUCCUGUAAUCCUGUAAGGACUCACAGUGGCGUAGGCGCCACACCAAAACACGUCUGACAGUGAGGAACGAAGGCUAGGAGAACAAAUCGG
rnacentral:rRNA from 1 species